GCAAUUUUCACGGUGCCGCCGCCUCCGCCUCACCGGAGCGGGGGUUCUCGCGCGCGGCCGCGGGCUCCUGGCCGCUCGGCGCCCGUCGCUCAUCUACGGCCUAGCAGUGUUCCAUUGGGAGAAGCAAUGUCUGGAGUAAUAACUAAGUUUGCUGUUACAUCGAUGUUCAUGUGGAUGCCCCAGUUGCAAUUAUGUGUGGGUUCUGCCACCAGAUUUUUCCAGGUAUUAGUCACCUUUCAUCCUCAGCGCAAACUCUGGCCAGUGGGUUCCUUGCUGUCAUAUCGGUUAAUAUUGUGAUUGGCUUCUACAUAUACUCUGCGAUGAAGGAGGCUCCCCGCCAAGAGCCACAACCUGAUGCACCUUCUCAGCGAAUGCUAAAGCAAGUAUUAACCAGCCAGCAUCUUCUCAAGUGAGUUAUGAUUCCAAGGGGAAGGUGGAGUAGGCAGGAACACAACUUGACUUGGGUUUUCUUUCCAGUAUACACAUGUUAUUCAGAAUCAGUUGUGUCAUGUGCAUAAGGCUCGGUGUCCGAAUUAGGUUGCUUCAGCACCUUCCCUCCCACAGCCGCCCUUGGUUGGGAUGUUGGUCUUCUCUUGUCAACAAUGCCUUCGAAUGAAGCCAGUUGCUGUGACAUUCUGGGUGUGCUUGGCUGUCUUGGUUGAGAUGUUGAUCUUUUCGGAGUGCCUCUCCUAUUGGCAUCACUGGCAGGAGUCUUCGUUCUUCCAGCCACCUCUUAACCGGCAUCAAUUUAUCAGCAUCGUCCUUCCAUUCGUUUGCUGUUGUUGUCGCCACACGGUUGACGUAGACUUUAGCUCGAGCCAGCUCCCUCUCGAGCGUCUUCUUCUCCUCCUAAAAGUUAAAGAUCGUUAUGAAACAAACUAGAAUGGGAUCGACCCAAACUUCUGAACACUUACAUCGAUCUCACUUACAUUCAAUCUGGUAGUCUGGUUCUGGUAGAAGUGCACAGCGUUGGCAACGUCUCUGCUGGCAAGAAUGGACUCCUCAAGCUCACCAACGGUGUGGGUGAGCUUCUCAAUUUCCAGGACCUUCUGCCUGUUGCUCUUCUCCAAAAGCAUGUUCUCCUCCUGCAGGUUCAGGCAAACAAGAAAAAAGGUUCAGUUAUGCAAGUUUUAUUGUAUAAGAAAAAUGAGGUAUGGCUGCCAUGUCGAUAAUGGAUUGUUGUGUGCACAUACGUGGUAGAUCUCCAUCUGUUUCUUCAGCUCAAUAUUCUGGUUCUGGACAUCCUCUACAAUCAGCGCUCUCUCGAGUGCGCUACGCAGAAUGUCCCCAGCCUCAACGAACGCCGCCUCAUUGAGCUUCAGGUGCCGUUCAAGCGCCUUUUUGUCAUCCUGGAGCACCGCAAUCUGACAAGAACCAAACGAGCAACCACAUACUCCAGGGGCCCUAUGAUGGCAUCAAAGGGAACCACUUCCUCAUCUCUCUGGGCCGAGUGGAUCCUCCUGAGCGAUGCCUCAGCAGCGAACUGUGCAGACAACGCUUCCUUGCGCUCAUUGCAUAACCUUU